rnacentral:rRNA from 1 species
AUUGAACGCUGGCGGCAUGCCUUACACAUGCAAGUCGAACGGCAGCACGGGUGCUUGCACCUGGUGGCGAGUGGCGAACGGGUGAGUAAUACAUCGGAACAUGUCCUGUAGUGGGGGAUAGCCCGGCGAAAACCGGAUUAAUACCGCAUACGAUCUACGGAUGAAAGCGGGGGACCUUCGGGCCUCGCGCUAUAGGGUUGGCCGAUGGCUGAUUAGCUAGUUGGUGGGGUAAAGGCCUACCAAGGCGACGAUCAGUAGCUGGUCUGAGAGGACGACCAGCCACACUGGGACUGAGACACGGCCCAGACUCCUACGGGAGGCAGCAGUGGGGAAUUUUGGACAAUGGGCGAAAGCCUGAUCCAGCAAUGCCGCGUGUGUGAAGAAGGCCUUCGGGUUGUAAAGCACUUUUGUCCGGAAAGAAAUCCUUGGCCCUAAUACGGUCGGGGGAUGACGGUACCGGAAGAAUAAGCACCGGCUAACUACGUG